GUCUGUUGCCCAGAUAGACAACCCAAGAGGGGGGGGUGAAUUGGGUUUUAAAAUAAUUUGAAUAAUUAAAACGAUGUGGUUGACUAAUUAAAAACUAUUGCAAGUUAUUUAAUUAAUGCUAAGUGCUGUGAGUGAUGUGAGGGGAAGAAGAAGAGAGACAAUCCAACACAAACACAAGGUUUUAUAGUGGUUCGGAGCUAACCCUUGCUCCUACGUCCACUCCCCAAGUCUCACUUGGGAAUUCACUAUAACCCCCUUGGAUUACAGCCGGUUGUUUUCCAAGCUCACNN
rnacentral:lncRNA from 1 species